UCACGAACCUUGUUUUGGAGCAAGUAAACCUCAGAAAUGGCGAGCGAUGCCGCUGCGAUUGGUGGAGGUGAUCAUGGCAUGGAUGCCCUAGGUCGAGAGAAGAGGUCGGGGAGAGUCUCGCAUGGUGGAGGUGAUCAUGGCAUGGAUGCCCUAGGUCGAGAGAAGAGGUCGGGGAGAGUCUCGCAUGGUGGAGGUGAUCAUGGCAUGGAUUCCCUAGGUCGAGAGAAGAGGACGGGGAGAGUCUCGCUGUCAGAGGGAAUCGCCACGGGGUCGGGGAGAGUCUCGCUGUGAGAGGGGAUCGGGAUGGGUUGGGAGAGAGGAGAUAAUAGGCUAGGUUAAAAAACAUUUAACAUUACCCCAAUAAUUAAUGUGAGAUACCUAUCUCCUUCCAAGGGAAUAGGAUUAGCACUUUAAAUUAAUCUCAUUAUCAAAUGAAUUUAAAAUUACCAAAUAGAUUACUUAAUGUAUUUACUCAAACAUCGUCAUAUUUUUACAUUCCGAUUGGAUUACUAGAUAUCUUAAAAAGAUAACGCGAACCAAACGCGCCAUGAAAUUAAUCACAUUACCAAGUGAAUUUAAGAUUACCAAAUAGAUUACUUAAUGUAUUUAGCCAAAUAUCGUCAUAUUUUCACAUUCCGAUUGGAUUACUAAGUAUCUUAAAAAGAUAACGCGAACCAAACGCGCUCUUAAUCUAAUAGUG
rnacentral:lncRNA from 1 species